UGAAGUUUUAUAACAAUGGCUUUAGUGGCGGACUGGUGAGUAACGCGUGAGCAACCUGCCUAUUAGAGGGGAAUAACAGUGAGAAAUCAUUGCUAAUACCGCAUAUGCCAUAGUCAUCACAUGAUGAUAGUGGGAAAGGAGUAAUCCGCUAAUAGAUGGGCUCGCGUCUGAUUAGAUAGUUGGUGGGGUAACGGCCUACCAAGUCAACGAUCAGUAGCCGGACUGAGAGGUUGAACGGCCACAUUGGGACUGAGAUACGGCCCAGACUCCUACGGGAGGCAGCAGUCGGGAAUAUUGCGCAAUGGAGGAAACUCUGACGCAGUGACGCCGCGUAUAGGAAGAAGGUCUUCGGAUUGUAAACUAUUGUCGUUAGGGAAGAAAAAGGACAGUACCUAAGGAGGAAGCUCCGGCUAACUACGUGCCAGCAGCCGCGGUAAUACGUAGGGAGCAAGCGUUAUCCGGAUUUAUUGGGUGUAAAGGGUGCGUAGACGGGAUAAUAAGUUAGUUGUGAAAUCCCUCGGCUCAACUGAGGAACUGCAACUAAAACUGUUAUUCUUGAGUGUUGGAGAGGAAAGCGGAAUUCCUAGUGUAGCGGUGAAAUGCGUAGAUAUUAGGAGGAACACCAGUGGCGAAGGCGGCUUUCUGGACAAUAACUGACGUUGAGGCACGAAAGUGUGGGGAGCAAACAGGAUUAGAUACCCUGGUAGUCCACACUGUAAACGAUGAAUACUAGGUGUAGGUUAUAUCAUGUAAUCUGUGCCGUCGCAAACGCAAUAAGUAUUCCACCUGGGGAGUACGGCCGCAAGGUUGAAACUCAAAGGAAUUGACGGGGGCCCGCACAAGCAGUGGAGUAUGUGGUUUAAUUCGAAGCAACGCGAAGAACCUUACCAGGGCUUGACAUAUAAGUGAAUAUAAUAGAGAUAUUAUAGUCCUUCGGGACACUUAUACAGGUGGUGCAUGGUUGUCGUCAGCUCGUGUCGUGAGAUGUUGGGUUAAGUCCCGCAACGAGCGCAACCCCUGCUUUUAGUUGCCAGCACGUAAUGGUGGGAACUCUAGAAGGACUGCCGGUGAUAAAUCGGAGGAAGGUGGGGACGACGUCAAAUCAUCAUGCCCUUUAUGUCCUGGGCUACACACGUACUACAAUGGCUGUAACAGAGGGAAGCAAGAUAGUGAUAUUGAGCAAAACCCAAAAAGCAGUCUCAGUUCGGAUUGAAGGCUGAAAUUCGCCUUCAUGAAGCCGGAAUUGCUAGUAAUGGCAGGUCAGCAUACUGCCGUGAAUACGUUCCCGGGCCU
rnacentral:rRNA from 1 species